AUUCAUACAUUCCUUUUUACUUUUCUCACAUAUUUUUAAUUUUCGGCCGUCGGAUCGGAUGAAUUGAAGAAGAUCAAAUGAUAGAAAUUAACAAGGGGUGUGGGAGAAGUAAAAAGAGAUGUGUGGAUAGCACACCCCUAGAUAUAAGCUCAUGUAACACUUAUUUCCUUGACAAAAAUCCAUCUCAUUUUAAACGUUUAAAUAAAACCCAGAUUUGAAGUAGACUAUCAUGUAAACAAAUAAAUAGCUAUUUUUUUCAAACUAUUUACAAUUGAGCCACAACACUCUAAUUAUGUUAAUGAAUUUAAUUAUCCACCAUAAUUGUGGGAAAUAAGUGCCUUAUUAUUAAAAAAUUAUCUACCUUUAUUAUUAAAAAAAUUAUCUACCUUAUACUUCUCUUACCAUCAUGUGUUUCAUUUCUUUUAUUUGUUUGACAAUCAUUGUAGGUAAAUGAUUUUGUAUGUAUGUAUUGGGCACAUUUUGUUAAAAUUAUAUAUAUGCGUACAAAUAAUUUAUCUAUAUUUUUAUGUAAAAUAAUAUGUGAUUAAUUAAUUUUGAAUCAAUUGGCUAAAAAUAUUUAUUUAUUUUGUAGGUAAAUUAUUUUUCAUGUGAUAUUACAUAUAGACUAGCCACAUUUUGUUAUUAUUAUAUAGAGUGUGCAAUCAAUCGACAUUCUUUUAUUUUGUAGGUAAAUUAUUUUGCAUGUAGGUAAUUUACCUAUGUUAUAUUUAAAAUAUUGAUAAUUUUGAAUAAAAUAACUUUUUUUUUAUAUUUGUAGGAUAUACCAAUUUACCUGUUAGCAUGACACGCCCCGACCCUGAUAUUCCCCGAAUACCAAGAUAGACACAUGCUGGCCGAUACCCGAGGGUGACGAAAGCCAUUAAUUGAUACAAAAGCUUAGAAUAAGAAAUAAAUAAGGGUUAGAAAUUUAAAAUACAAUGAAUUAAUAAUUUAGGAACGUGUUCAGAGUAUACAACUAACUAGAGCUCUAAAAGGAUUAAUAUAAAAUUGAAUAAAUAAGAGGAUGUAGGUCCUACACCGAGAGGACUCGAAUAUGCCAAUGCGAAAGCGUUGACGUCGGGAUCGUAUGCCUCGAUUCUAAAUCCUGAAAGGGGGCGCAAAACAAGGGUGAGUAGACCAAGUUUAUAUACAUGCAUAAUACAAAAACAGUUAUAAAUAUACUAACCCCUAAAGUUUUAAUAAUGAAAACUACUAGCAUAAUAAAUGAUAGGUUUUUCUAAAACUCUAGCAUGCCAUAAAACAUCUCAACAUGUAUAAUGCGGAAAAACAUCAUAUAAAUCAUCGCGUGUAUUGUCUCGUAGAUUGUCUCAUAAGCGUGGUGUGCUGCUAGUAAGAUCACUGAAUAAAUAUACUCCUGGCCCAAUGCCAGCACCUAAGUCUCUGUGCCCGUAGCCAGAGAUAACUCCCUUCCGGCCCAA
rnacentral:lncRNA from 1 species